UACGGGAGGCAGCAGUGGGGAAUAUUGCACAAUGGGCGCAAGCCUGAUGCAGCCAUGCCGCGUGUAUGAAAAAGGCCUUCGGGUUGUAAAGUACUUUCAGUCGUGAGGAAGGUGUUAAGGUUAAUAACCUUAGCAAUUGACGUUAGCGACAGAAGAAGCACCGGCUAACUCCGUGCCAGCAGCCGCGGUAAUACGGAGGGUGCGAGCGUUAAUCGGAAUUACUGGGCGUAAAGGGCACGCAGGCGGUUAAUUAAGUUGGAUGUGAAUCCCCGGGCUUAACCUGGGAAUGGCAUUCAAGACUGGUUAGCUAGAGUCUUGUAGAGGGGGUAGAAUUCCAUGUGUAGCGGUGAAAUGCGUAGAGAUGUGGAGGAAUACCGGUGGCGAAGGCGGCCCCUGGGACAAAGACUGACGCUCAUGUGCGAAAGCGUGGGGAGCAAACAGGGAUUAGAUACC
rnacentral:rRNA from 1 species